GACGAACGCUGGCGGCGUGCUUAACACAUGCAAGUCGAACGCUGAAGCUUGGUGCUUGCACUGGGUGGAUGAGUGGCGAACGGGUGAGUAAUACGUGAGUAACCUGCCCUUGACUCUGGGAUAAGCCUGGGAAACUGGGUCUAAUACUGGAUAUGACAUGCCACUGCAUGGUGGUGUGUGGAAAGGGUUUUACUGGUUUUGGAUGGGCUCACGGCCUAUCAGCUUGUUGGUGGGGUAAUGGCCUACCAAGGCGACGACGGGUAGCCGGCCUGAGAGGGUGACCGGCCACACUGGGACUGAGACACGGCCCAGACUCCUACGUGAGGCAGCAGUGGGGAAUAUUGCACAAUGGGCGGAAGCCUGAUGCAGCGACGCCGCGUGAGGGAUGACGGCCUUCGGGUUGUAAACCUCUUUCAGCACGGAAGAAGCGAGAGUGACGGUACGUGCAGAAGAAGCGCCGGCUAACUACGUG
rnacentral:rRNA from 1 species